rnacentral:lncRNA from 1 species
CGGGGCCCAAGCCGCCCCAGGAUCCUGGGCACUGCGGGUCCCCGAGGUGCAAGCAGAGCAGGGAUUUGGAUUGACCCCAUUACCACACUGAAGAUGACUGGGCGUGAGACGGAAAGCCCUCACGCCUACACAACCUCGCUGAGCCACGCGCCAGUACGCCCUUCACUGUGUCCUGGGGAGAAGAGAGAUUUGAAUUCUUCACGUCACUAGGACUUGGGGCAGAUCUGAUUCAUGGGACUGAAGCAGCCUUUCUGCUGUCGCUGAAUUGGAGCCAGACCCCGUGUCUUCCAACCCACAGUCCUGAGACCAGCCUCCACUCUCUGAAGACCACAACAGAUGCCUGAGACCUGAUCCUACUCCUUAAAAAUUUCAGGAUGGAGACUCUUGGGGACACUCUUUAACCCUAUGCCCAUGGUUGGGACCUCUCACAGCAUCAGGGGACUGGGUCUGAUGGCUCAGCCUUAACCACAAACUCAGUUCUGGGCUUGGGGGCAAGGGUUGAUACCAGAACAUUUGCAGGCAGCCCAGUGCUGAACCCUGGGAAAGCCUGAAGAAUGGGACAGCCCCCCUCACAUCUAUACCUGUUCUAGAGUCAGAGUUGGAGGGAGAGGGGCCUGAUUGGGCCCCCACUGGACCACGGGCUGGCCUGAGAUCUUGGCAGCCCCAGAAUCUCUCUGGCUCUUGGCGUCCCCAGCUACGGAACAAGGAGACCACUUCCCAUCAUGAGACUUCCUGUGCCCAUCAAGCAAGAUAAGAAGUGAAGAAAUGCUUCAUAAUGAAACCGACAAGGAACAGACGUCUACCGAGGUUUGGGAAUGGAGCCCCUGACCCCACUUUCACGACCUCGCUGGGCUCCCUGUGGUUCUUCCCAGAGCUUGGGAGGGGGACGAAUACCCAGCUCAGCCCCUCCCACUCCAGGGGUCUAUUUAUGGACUCUGCUCUGGAGAGUAAAGCUUCUUCACCCUUAAAACCCU